UGAUCUUCUUCAAUUCAGCUUGAGAUUUCUCCAAAGAGUCUAAUUUAUUCCUGUGUUCCGCUUGGUAUCUUUUGAGAGUCGCCUGUAAGUUAAACGUAGCACUUAUUUUUACUGCAGCACCAGGCAAAGUGUCAGGCGGUUACUCUUGCUGCAUUUCCACUGGGCGUGGUAGCAACAGGCCCAUGCUUCGUGCUGCCCUGCCUGGCUGCACGCAUCCCCACUUCACACCACCCCCCUCCGCUCCUCAGACUUCAAUGUCCUGUCCUGAAGUUCCCCGUUUAUACGAUGAGCCCCUGACCAGAAGGGCAGCUUCUCAGAGGAAAACAAUGUCGUUUCUUUCUUUUAUUCCUUUUUUCUCCAAGGUUUUUGGACACUGGGUGGCCUGUAAGUGCUUUGGUGAAUAAAUGAACAAUAUCAACUCACACACUCCUGACUGUUUUAUGACUUAACGAUUUCAAGAAACAGAAUGAACAAGAGCCAUCGCUUCUGGUGAUUCUGAGGGCUGUGAAACAGAGCGUUUUGGAGCCUCACAGACCUGGCUCGUGGAUAAUCUCCUUAUGGAAUUUCCUGAACUGUGGACACAAGGAAAUGAAAAAUUCAGACUUGAGCCAGGAAAACUCUUACUGCUAUAUAAGCUGGAUUCUAAGUAUCUUAAAAAUCACAUUUCUCCUUUCAAACUGAUUCUGAAAACGACAUUAUAAGCUUCUCACCCAUGCUAGUGUGGACCCCCGGUCUCGGCUUGGAUGCUGUCUUUUCUGCCUGAAGCACUAGUAAGCAGCGUCUGCCUACUGAAACCUAACGUCUGUCAGCUGGCUCAGCUCCUACACGGCCUCCUGCCUGCUCCAUACUCCACCGGCCUCCUGCUCAAACUCCUGUGACGCUGCUCGUCCUAUGCUCUUCAUCAGCUGCGCUGCUGCCCUGGGCUAUAAUCUAAUUGUUGACCGCACAUCUGGCAUCCUCGACUAUACUACAGAUUCUUAACAACAACUUUACACAUUUUAUUGAAGUUUCUCGAUGGCUUCAGCCAAAAACAGAUGGCCUGCAGAAAUCCUGGAACACCUUAUGAAAUGCAGAAUAGGCCCCAGGAGGUGUUAAAGUGGUAGAGGCUGCUGGGGAGAAGCCUUGUUAGCAGGAGGCUACGCUGUGGGUUCUUCACUGCGUCACCUUGUAAAACUCUGCCUCAGAGAGGCAGCUCAUGCUAGAAAGAAAAAAAUCACUGCAGGUCAGAGUGAUUUCCUUCCCGGGGAUGGAUAAAGCGAUAACUUUGUGGUCUUGUGACUAGGUAAUCAUCAGGACAGAGUCAGCUUCCAAAACAAGGCUCCAGUUCUUUGAAGGAGGGAGGGGGCGGGCACCCAUAGAAGUCACUGGUACUGCCAGAGGGAGAAGGAGGGAAAUCCCAGGCCCGCUGCAUUUCCUGACACUGAACACGUCUGGCCAAGAGCACAGAUCCAGAAGGAAGUCAAUAAGCAGUUUACUUUUGCAGUGACUGAAAUGAUAGUUCGUCUGUAAUCCAAAGUCCCAAGUCUCGCCAGCACCUCCCCUUUCCUGGAGCGGGCUCACACUGAGGGUGUGAGGGCACAGGUUUAUUUUCUAAACAUCAUCAGGGAGCAGCCAAAGGUGGGGUAUCGUGAAAGAGAGAAAGAAGAGGGGAAAAAAAGACACAAAGCUUCGUCUGAAGCCUUCUUCAAAUCUCAAACUGCUGGAGACUAAAUUUUCUACUUAUGUUACGUGCUGGUCUUAGUGAACCAGGGUAGAUUGUAAAACUGGGAUCUGAAUAUUUUGGGGGUGACACUUGCUACAUAUGGAGAAUUGUUCUGACCAUGUUAGAAUUUGGUGAUUGUUAGCAUCUUGAGUUUUCAAGGUGAUCACUGAUAAGGGACUUCCCUGACGGUCCAGUGGUUAAGACUUCACCUUCCAAUGCAGGGGGUGUGGGUUCGAUCCCUGGUUGGGGAGCUAAGAUCCCACAGGCCUCGGGGCCAGAAAACCAAAACAUAAAACAGAUGCAAUACAGUAACAAAUUCAAUAAAGACUUUAAAGAAGUGGUCCACAUCAAGGUGAUCACUGAUAACGUUCCCCUUUUGGGAGGGGAAUGCAUGUGUAGAUGCACAUUGGCUUCCUCAGAUGAAAUCUGUUCAAACCAGCAAACAACUCUGGUUCACAGAGAGACAAAAGCCAAUGCCUGAGUUCAUUUUAAAUUAAGCACUCAUUUUGAAAUGAGAAUCUAAGUUCAACCUUUAAUUUAGAUGUUUUUCCAUUCAGGCUAAACAUUUUAUUUCUCACAUUACUAUCAAAAGUGAUACACCCAAAGUCAAGAAAUUCUUCUACAUAAAUAAAAAGGAGAAAAAUUCCUAUGCUUCAGGAUCUUAAAAUUUUAAGUAUACCUUUUAUAUAUGUUAU